rnacentral:tRNA from 4 species
UCCUCUGUAGUUCAGUCGGUAGAACGGCGGACUGUUAAUCCGUAUGUCACUGGUUCGAGUGCAGUCAGAGGAGCCA